rnacentral:lncRNA from 1 species
GUUUGGGGUCAUGGUAGCUCCUCAUUGGAGUGUGUGCGAAUUCUCCAAUGAGAAUCUCGCCCAAUGAUGAUUGGGUCUGCGUUACGAGCGAGAGACGACGUGCGUAGUUGAGACCGGUUUAGGUGGUAGGCCUAUGUUGGGAUGGCGACCUUCGGUCCGCCCAUGGAAACCGAGGUAAGCGGUUUAGCCGAUAACUCUGUUAGUGAGUUCGACUUAGGUUUACGAACAGAGUGUUCGUGUGAGUUCGUUGUAGGAACGAAUUCGAAGUCGAGUUAAUCGUGGCUUAUGAUGGCAAGGGAUGAAGUGCUCUUGUGAGACAUU